GCCCAGGUGGCGGAAUUGGUAGACGCGCUAGAUUCAGGUUCUAGUGUCUUAACGGACGUGGGAGUUCGACUCUCCCCUUGGGCACCA
rnacentral:tRNA from 1 species